rnacentral:rRNA from 1 species
UACGUAGGUGGCAAGCGUUGUCCGAAAUUAUUGGGCGUAAAGGGCGUGUAGGUGGAUCUUUAAGUCGUGUGUCUAAGUGCGGUGCUCAACGCCGUAUGGGCGCAGGAAACUGGGGAUCUUGAGUGCAGGAGAGGAAAGCGGAAUUCCCAGUGUAGCGGUGAAAUGCGUAGAUAUUGGGAGGAACACCAGUGGCGAAGGCGGCUUUCUGGACUGUGUCUGACACUGAGGCGCGAAAGCGUGGGGAGCAAACAGG